CAUAAAGUCAUUGUAGAUUCGAUAGGGAAGAUAAGAAAAUCUGAAUCCGCUGAUAAUUUAUUGGCCGAUAAACAUAAUUUGAAGCCCAAUAUUAUGUAGUCGUGAAGCCCAUGAAGAACACAAACGAAA